AACGAACGCUGGCGGCAGGCUUAACACAUGCAAGUCGAACGCACCUUUCGGGGUGAGUGGCAGACGGGUGAGUAACGCGUGGGAAUCUACCCUUCUCUACGGGAUAGCUCCGGGAAACUGGAAUUAAUACCGUAUACGUCCUGAGGGAGAAAGAUUUAUCGGGGAAGGAUGAGCCCGCGUUGGAUUAGCUAGUUGGUGGGGUAAAGGCCUACCAAGGCGACGAUCCAUAGCUGGUCUAAGAGGAUGAUCAGCCACAUUGGGACUGAGACACGGCCCAAACUCCUACGGGAGGCAGCAGUGGGGAAUAUUGGACAAUGGGCGCAAGCCUGAUCCAGCCAUGCCGCGUGAGUGAUGAAGGCCCUAGGGUUGUAAAGCUCUGUCAGUGGGGACGAUAAUGACGGUACCCACAGAAGAAGCCCCGGCUAACUUCGUG
rnacentral:rRNA from 1 species